GCUGGGGUGAUGGAAUUGGCAGACAUUACGGCCUUAGAAGCCGUUGCUCGCAAGAGCGUGGGAGUUCAAAUCUCCCCCCCAGCA
rnacentral:tRNA from 1 species